rnacentral:lncRNA from 1 species
AUUUUGGCAAAAAGAUUGAAAAGAGUGUUGAUGGAGAAGAUUCAUAAGGACCAAGCAGGCUUUCUCCCUAAAAGGCAUUUAUCAGACAAUGUGAGGAACAUAAUAGACAUUUUGGAAUUAUUAGAGGUGAAUAUAAACACUAAAGCAGUUCUGAUCUUUGUAGAUGCGGAGAAAGCCUUUGACAAUAUUUCUUGGAGUUUUAUGAAAAAGAAUCUUCAUGGGAUGGGGGUAGGCCAAGGAUUCGAGAAUGGUAUGGGUGCCAUAUACACUGAACAAAAAGCUAAAUUGAUUGUAAAUAAUGUGAUAACUGAAGAAUUUAAAAUAGAAAAAGGGACACGACAGGGGUGCCCUAUCUCCCCAUUACUUUUUAUUUCUGUUCUGGAGGUGUUGCUAAAUAUGAUUAGAGAUGACCAGCAGGUUAAAGGUGUACAGGUCGGAGCUAAACAUUACAAGUUAAGGGCCUUUGCAGAUGAUUUAGUACUUACUUUACAAGAGCCAGACACUAGUACAAAAAGGGUGUUGGAGCUAAUCCAAGAAUUUGGCCAGGUAGCUGGAUUUAAAUUGAAUAAACAAAAGACUAAAGUCUUGGAAAAAAAUUUAACAGUCAUGGAAAGGGAGAAGUUUCAGAAUGAAACAGGUUUGACAGUGGUAAAGAAGGUGAAAUACCUAGGGGUCUAUUUGACAUCUAAAAAUUUGAACCUGUAUAAAGACAAUUAUGAAAAAUGUUGGUCGGAAAUUAAAAAAGAUCUAGAAAUAUGGUCAAAUUUGAAAUUGUCAAUGUUAGGCCGAAUUGCAGUUAUUAAGAUGAAUGUAUUGCCCAGAAUGUUAUUCUUGUUCCAAACAUUACAAAUUCUAGACAAGAUAGACUGUUUUAAGAGGUGGCAGAAGGAUAUUUCGAAAUUUGUCUGGCAGGGCAAAAAACCCAGAAUAAAAUUUAAAAUACUGACGGAUGCAAAAGAAAGAGGGGGUUUGCCCUGCCGGACUUAAAACUGUAUUAUGAAGCAGCAACUUUUUGCUGGCUGAAAGAAUGGAUGCUCCUCGAGAAUACAGACAUCUUGGACUUAGAAGGUUUUAACAAUACAUUUGGUUGGCAUGCAUAUUUAUGGUAUGAUAAAAUCAAGGUGCAUAGGGCCUUUAAAAAUCAUAUUGUCAGGAAAGCAUUAUAUAAUGUUUGGAUAAGAUAUAAAGAUUUGGUGGAAAGUAAGACUCCUAGAUGGUUGUCACCUUUGGAAGCCACGGCGUUGAAAAAGCUUAAUAUGGAAGCCGAAUGGCUAAAGUAUCGGGAAAUUUUGGAACAAGAUGGAGAUAAGUUGAAGCUACAGAGCUAUGAGAAAUUGAAACCCAAAGUACGAGAUUGGCUCCAUUAUUAUCAAAUAAUGGAGGUGUAUAAACAAGACAGGAAAAUUGGCUUCCAGGUGGAGAAAUCAAAAUUAGAAACUGAACUGUUAGAACCCAAUACUAAGAACUUGUCAAGAAUGUAUAAUUUGCUGCUGAAAUGGAAUACACAAGAUGAAACAGUUAAAUCAGCUAUGAUUAAGUGGGCACAGGACAUUGGUCAUAACAUUAUGUUUGCUGACUGGGAAUGGUUGUGGAACACCGGUAUAAAAUUUACGGCAUGUAAUGCCAUAAAGGAAAAUAUUAUGAAAAUGAUCUAUAGGUGGUACAUGACUCCAGUCAAGCUAGCAAAAAUUUAUCAUUUGCCUGAUAAUAAGUGUUGGAAGUGUAAAGAAACUGAAGGUACUUUUUAUCACCUUUGGUGGACGUGCCCAAAGAUUAAGGCUUUCUGGGAAAUGAUAUAUAAUGAAUUAAAAAAGGUACUUAAAUGUACUUUCCUGAAGAAACCAGAGGCCUUUCUCUUGGGCAUUGCCGGCCAAUUGGUAUCAAAGAAAGACAGAACUUUUUUUAUGUAUGCUACGACAGCAGCAAGAAUACUCAUCGCAAAGUAUUGGAAGACAGAAGAACUACCCACCUUGGAAGAGUGGCAGAUGAAGGUUAUAGACUAUAUGACAUUGGCGGAGAUGACUGGCAGAAUCCGUGAGCAGGGGAAAGAGACGGUGGAAGAAGAUUGGAAGAAAUUUAAAAUCUAUCUAAAGAACUAUCAUAAAAUUGAGGAAUGUUAAAAUGUCGAGGUUUGGAGAAAGAAAAGGAGAUUACAGCGACAUAAGAUUAAGUUG